CAGUAGCCGCGGUAAUACGAGGGGGGCAAGCGUUGUUCGGAAUUAUUGGGCGUAAAGGGUGCGUAGGCGGUUUGACAAGUCUUAUGUGAAAUCUCUGGGCUCAACCCAGAGUCUGCAUGGGAAACUGUCGGGCUUGAGUAUGGGAGAGGUGAGUGGAAUUUCCGGCGUAGCGGUGAAAUGCGUAGAUAUCGGAAGGAACACCUGUGGCGAAAGCGGCUCACUGGACCAUAACUGACGCUGAUGCACGAAAGCUAGGGGAGCAAACAGGAUUAGAUACCCGCGUAGUCCCUGUCUCUUAUAC
rnacentral:rRNA from 1 species